rnacentral:rRNA from 1 species
GAGUAGGGCGGGACACGUGGUAUCCUGUCUGAAUAUGGGGGGACCAUCCUCCAAGGCUAAAUACUCCUGACUGACCGAUAGUGAACCAGUACCGUGAGGGAAAGGCGAAAAGAACCCCGGCGAGGGGAGUGAAAAAGAACCUGAAACCGUGUACGUACAAGCAGUGGGAGCCUCUUUAUGGGGUGACUGCGUACCUUUUGUAUAAUGGGUCAGCGACUUAUAUUCUGUAGCAAGGUUAACCGAAUAGGGGAGCCGAAGGGAAACCGAGUCUUAACUGGGCGUUAAGUUGCAGGGUAUAGACCCGAAACCCGGUGAUCUAGCCAUGGGCAGGUUGAAGGUUGGGUAACACUAACUGGAGGACCGAACCGACUAAUGUUGAAAAAUUAGCGGAUGACUUGUGGCUGGGGGUGAAAGGCCAAUCAAACCGGGAGAUAGCUGGUUCUCCCCGAAAGCUAUUUAGGUAGCGCCUCGUGAAUUCAUCUCCGGGGGUAGAGCACUGUUUCGGCAAGGGGGUCAUCCCGACUUACCAACCCGAUGCAAACUGCGAAUACCGGAGAAUGUUAUCACGGGAGACACACGGCGGGUGCUAACGUCCGUCGUGAAGAGGGAAACAACCCAGACCGCCAGCUAAGGUCCCAAAGUCAUGGUUAAGUGGGAAACGAUGUGGGAAGGCCCAGACAGCCAGGAUGUUGGCUUAGAAGCAGCCAUCAUUUAAAGAAAGCGUAAUAGCUCACUGGUCGAGUCGGCCUGCGCGGAAGAUGUAACGGGGCUAAACCAUGCACCGAAGCUGCGGCAGCGACACUAUGUGUUGUUGGGUAGGGGAGCGUUCUGUAAGCCUGUGAAGGUGGCCUGUGAGGGUUGCUGGAGGUAUCAGAAGUGCGAAUGCUGACAUAAGUAACGAUAAAGCGGGUGAAAAGCCCGCUCGCCGGAAGACCAAGGGUUCCUGUCCAACGUUAAUCGGGGCAGGGUGAGUCGACCCCUAAGGCGAGGCCGAAAGGCGUAGUCGAUGGGAAACAGGUUAAUAUUCCUGUACUUGGUGUUACUGCGAAGGGGGGACGGAGAAGGCUAUGUUGGCCGGGCGACGGUUGUCCCGGUUUAAGCGUGUAGGGACAAAUGCCCUGCUUCCAGGAAAAGCCUCUAAGCAUCAGGUAACAUCAAAUCGUACCCCAAACCGACACAGGUGGUCAGGUAGAGAAUACCAAGGCGCUUGAGAGAACUCGGGUGAAGGAACUAGGCAAAAUGGUGCCGUAACUUCGGGAGAAGGCACGCUGAUAUGUAGGUGAAGCGACUUGCUCGUGGAGCUGAAAUCAGUCGAAGAUACCAGCUGGCUGCAACUGUUUAUUAAAAACACAGCACUGUGCAAACACGAAAGUGGACGUAUACGGUGUGACGCCUGCCCGGUGCCGGAAGGUUAAUUGAUGGGGUUAGCGGUAACGCGAAGCUCUUGAUCGAAGCCCCGGUAAACGGCGGCCGUAACUAUAACGGUCCUAAGGUAGCGAAAUUCCUUGUCGGGUAAGUUCCGACCUGCACGAAUGGCGUAAUGAUGGCCAGGCUGUCUCCACCCGAGACUCAGUGAAAUUGAACUCGCUGUGAAGAUGCAGUGUACCCGCGGCAAGACGGAAAGACCCCGUGAACCUUUACUAUAGCUUGACACUGAACAUUGAGCCUUGAUGUGUAGGAUAGGUGGGAGGCUUUGAAGUGUGGACGCCAGUCUGCAUGGAGCCGACCUUGAAAUACCACCCUUUAAUGUUUGAUGUUCUAACGUUGGCCCGUAAUCCGGGUUGCGGACAGUGUCUGGUGGGUAGUUUGACUGGGGCGGUCUCCUCCUAAAGAGUAACGGAGGAGCACGAAGGUUGGCUAAUCCUGGUCGGACAUCAGGAGGUUAGUGCAAUGGCAUAAGCCAGCUUGACUGCGAGCGUGACGGCGCGAGCAGGUGCGAAAGCAGGUCAUAGUGAUCCGGUGGUUCUGAAUGGAAGGGCCAUCGCUCAACGGAUAAAAGGUACUCCGGGGAUAACAGGCUGAUACCGCCCAAGAGUUCAUAUCGACGGCGGUGUUUGGCACCUCGAUGUCGGCUCAUCACAUCCUGGGGCUGAAGUAGGUCCCAAGGGUAUGGCUGUUCGCCAUUUAAAGUGGUACGCGAGCUGGGUUUAGAACGUCGUGAGACAGUUCGGUCCCUAUCUGCCGUGGGCGCUGGAGAACUGAGGGGGGCUGCUCCUAGUACGAGAGGACCGGAGUGGACGCAUCACUGGUGUUCGGGUUGUCAUGCCAAUGGCACUGCCCGGUAGCUAAAUGCGGAAGAGAUAAGUGCUGAAAGCAUCUAAGCACGAAACUUGCCCCGAGAUGAGUUCUCCCUGA